rnacentral:rRNA from 1 species
UCUAAGUAUAACCUGCCAGACAGGGAAACUGCGUACGGCUCAUUACACCAGCCUUAAUUUACUUGACCUUGACAACCUACUUGGAUAACUGUGGUAAUUCUAGAGGUAAUACAUGCACCAAAGCUCCGAUCCUCGCGGAGAGGAGCGCAUUUGUUCGCCACAAAACCAAGCGCCCAUCUGGGCGUCCAGUGCUGAACCAGAACAACUCAGCUGAUCGCACGGUCUUGUACCGGCGACGUGUCUUUCAAGUGUCUGCCUUAUCAACUUUCGAUGGUAGUGUACCUGACUACCAUGGUUGUGACGGGUAACGGAGGAUAAGGGUUCGACUCCGGAGAAGGGGCCUGAGAAAUGGCCACUACGUCUAAGGAUGGCAGCAGGCGCGCAAAUUACCCACUCUCAACGCGAGGAGGUAGUGACGAGAAAUAACGAGACCGUUCUCAUACGAGGCCGGUUAUUGGAAUGGGUACAAUUUAAA